AAAAGAAAAACCUGACCAGUGAACUUCAAAGAACAAAGAACACUCUGGAUGAGAGAGAGAGAAAAUACCAAACAGAGAUGGAAAAGUUAGCAAAUGAACUCAAUGAGAUGAAUAGGAGCAUUGAGCAGGUGAAGGAAGAAAAAGAAAAUUUGACCAGUGAACUUCAAAGAACAAAGAACAUUAUGGAUGAGGGAGAGAGAAG